UACGUAGGUGGCAAGCGUUGUCCGGAAUUAUUGGGCGUAAAGCGCGCGCAGGCGGUCCUUUGAGUCUGAUGUGAAAGCCCACGGCUCAACCGUGGAGGGUCAUUGGAAACUGGGGGACUUGAGUACAGAAGAGGAAAGUGGAAUUCCACGUGUAGCGGUGAAAUGCGUAGAGAUGUGGAGGAACACCAGUGGCGAAGGCGACUUUCUGGUCUGUAACUGACGCUGAGGCGCGAAAGCGUGGGGAGCAAACAGG
rnacentral:rRNA from 1 species